rnacentral:rRNA from 1 species
CCUGCCAGUGUCUAUAUGCUUGUUUCAAAGACUAAGCCAUGCAUGUCUAAGUACAGCUCGGCGGAGCAAUCUGCCGGGCGAAACCGCGGACGGCUCAUUAAAUCAGUCGUGGUCUAAAUGGGCUAAAGUUUCCUGUUGGAUAACUGUGGAAAAUCCAGAGCUAAUACAUGCUACUUACGAGUCCUGAGCUAAAGUCCUUUUUUCGUUUACGGGAACUGGGUGACUAACUCGGGAUGCUUUUAUUAGACCGAGGCGCGCGCAUGCUCGGUUUAGUCUUUCGCAGAUUUCGGUUUGUGAUUGACGGCCGUUUGUGUGUCGUCGUGUAAGCGCUUAAUGGUGAACCCUGGAUAACACUUGAUGAGCGUGCCUUUUCGGCACGCCGCCUACUUACGAGUGACUGCCCUAUCAGCUAGUAACGUAUGUUAUACGCGAACGCUGGCGGUAACGGGUAACGGGGAAUCAGAGUUCGAUUCCGGAGAGGCAGCCUGAGAAACGGCUACCACGUCUAAGGACGGCAGCAGGCACGCAAAUUACCCAAUCCCAGCACAUGGGGGAGGUAGUGACGAUACUUACUGAUGCGGGUCGUUCUUCGGAACAUUCGCAAUCGGAAUGGCUAUUUUCUAAACACCCUAUCGAGAACCUACUGGAGGGCAAGCCUGGUGCCAGCAGCCGCGGUAAUUCCAGCUCCAGUGGCGUAUGCCAAUGUUGCUGCGGUUAAAAGGCUCGCAGUUGAAUGUCAGUUAUAAUACGCGAUGAGAUGCCGGGACGUUGUUCGUGCGGUAACCUCGUGUUUCGUCCGUUCCGUCCCCUGAGCGCAUUUCUCGCAAUCUAACAAUAAUUAUCAAGCACGCCGCAUGUGUUCAUUUCGCCUUUUGUUCGCAAUUGGUGUGGUCCCUGUGGCAGUUUGGUAGUUGACACCUUGAGUAAAUCAGAGUGCUUAACGCAGUCGUUUAAAUACCGGUGGCUUGUCGUGAUUCGUUGCGUUCAAGUUUGCCAGUGGCGGACGUAAGUCCGUUUAGACAUUGUCUUUGCUUUGCAUGGUACGUCGAAAGACGCCGUGUAAGUUGGUCGCGCUUACGGUUAGACACACAGCUAUGUGUGCGCGUGCACCAACGAGCACGGAAUGAUAUGAAAGGGAUGGUUCGAAGGCAUUGGUAUUGCGAGGCGAGAGGUGAAAUUCUAUGACCCUCGCAAGACUCCCCGAAGCGAAAGCGUCUGCCUAGGACGUCUUCAUUAAUCAUGAACGAAAGUUGAAGGAUCGAAGGCGAUCAGAUACCGCCCUAGUUUUAACCGUAAACUAUACCAACCAUCAAUCCGUCGGAGCGUUCCCUUACUCCCGUUGACCGGCUAACGCUGCGAUGCGUGGACAAGUGUAAGCUCGAUGGGCAGCUCCUCCACUACGGAAAACCAGAGUGUUUCGGUUCCGGGGGGAGUCUGGUUGCAAAGCUGAAACUUAAAGGAAUUGACGGAAAGGCACCACCAGGCGUGGAGCUUGCGGCUCAAUUUGACUCAACACGGGAAAUCUCACCAGACCCAAACAUCUUUAAUGACUGACAGACUGAAAGCUCUUUCUCGAUAAAGUGGAUGGUGGUGCAUGGCCGUUCUUAGUUGGUGGAGUGAUCUGUCUGGUUAAUUCCGAUAACGAACGAGACUCUCCCCUGCUAACGAACCUUGUGUUCUUGUAGACAGUGUGAUUCGAAUCAUGGAUAUAUGUUCGCGAGAGCUUAUCCUGACGAUGUCCACUGAUCCUUGUUGCGUCGGGUUUUGGUACUUUGAUUGCGGUCGUGUCCGGGUUUUUCGUGAGAUUAACCUCUUUGCGAUGCCCGAGCGCGUGCUGCUUUUCUUGUCCAUCUCGGCUGCGGCUUGGAGUACGUUUCUUCUUAGAGGGAUUGUCGACUAAUAAUUCGAAAGAAACAGAGAGCAAUAACAGGUCUGUGAUGCCCUUAGAUGUUCUGGGCUGCACGCGUGUUACAAUGCCGGGAUCAACGGGUUAUUACACAUCUCGUGUCCUACUCCGAAAGGAGCGGGUAAACCUUUGAAAUCCCUGACGCGUGAAAGACAUGUUCUAUCCGCACUAUGGCUUGCUUGGGACUGGGGAUUGCAAUUAUUCCCCACGAACGAGGAAUGCCUUGUAGUGGCGAGUCACAGAGCUCGCUGCGACUCUGUCCCUGCCCUUUGUACACACCGCCCGUCGCUACUACCGAUUGAGUGUACCAGUGAGAUGCUUGGACUGGCGAACCGAUGUCGUAAGACUCGGCGUACGACACAAAGAGACUCGAACUGGUGCACUAGAGGG